rnacentral:misc_RNA from 1 species
UAAAAAAAAAAAAAAAAAGAAACUAGGGGUGAAUUGGGCUUGUAAAGUUGAAAAUUGUAUGACUAUAUAAGAAGAUGGUUUUGUUUCUAGUGAUCACCAUAACAACAAUGUAAUUUAAUACACUCAUGUUAAACUGACAUUUUUUUUAUUCAAUUUUGGUUUAAGGGAGAUGAGUUGGAAAUAUAAACCAAACACAACUAGGAUUAGGAUUAAAGUAAGAAUUUGUAUUGUAGAAUUGUCUUUUGAUCAACAAGCCUUCUAGAACCCUUAUGAUGCAAAUUUUCGUGUACUAAGACAUCCUUAUACCUAAAGACUCUCAGGAACAGUUGUAAAAUAUAGUUACUUGAUAAGAGCACUUUGAAUAUUUAAUUACGUGACCACUGCUAGGAUGGAAACAAAAAGAAGAACGAUGCACAGAGUUGCAUAUUCCUUUCCAAUUAAUAAGUAGAUUGACUUAACAUAAAUUUCAUUGAUAAUUUUAUGAGGGUUGAAUCUUAGGAUGGUUGUAUUUUGAGAUUGCUUAUGUAUCUAAUCCAUUUAUAUUUCUGAUAUAGGAGAGGAAGGAGUUGAUAAAAG